ensembl:lncRNA
UGCGAAGUAAACGCUCAGUAGCCUAAACGCUGUCAUUUAACCAAGCCUUUGUCUGUUUGUUGGAUUUCACUGAUUUACGGAUAUACUGCCUGUUUCGGAUUCCGAUUUCCUGGCUAGCCCCGUUUGGAUUGUUCGCCUGGACUUCGUCUGUUUUUUCGGAUCUCGUCUUCAAUUUGAUCCUCAUCUUCCUGUUACUGCACCGCCCGUGCUUGUCUCCUCACGAGGCAAAGCAAACCAAGAUCAAAAAGACAGCCAGGGACCAGAUGUUACAAAACCUAAAGACUUCCCUUUCUCAGAACAGGACCCUAGCCACACAAUAUCACCACACCAGUUCUGAGGAUGAAUUUCCACAACGUCAUGGUAUUUUUUUCCACUCCUGAUAAUCACACCAGUUCUGAUGAUGCCACAAACAUGGGGAGCCCACAACAUCCUGGCAUUGGUCGUGGGGGAACCUUUAGCCUAUCCCAGGGAACAUCGGGCCAGGGCAGGGUACACCCUGGACAGGGUGCCAUUCCAUCGCACGGCACAAUCACAUACACACUCGCACACCCAUUCAUACAUUAUGGACAGUUUAGACAUGCCAAUCAGCCUACCAUGCAUGUCUUUGGACUGGGGGAGGAAACCCCCACAGCACAGGGGGAACAUGCAAACUCCGCAUACACAUGGCCCCGGCGGGAAUCGAACCCCGGACCCUGGAGGUGUAAGGCGAACGUGCUAUGUAUCACCUCUCAGUAAUUGCAUUACUUCUAAG